UACGUAGGGGGCAAGCGUUGUCCGGAAUCAUUGGGCGUAAAGAGCGUGUAGGCGGCUCGGUAAGUCCGCUCUGAAAGCCCGGGGCUCAACCCCGGGAGGCGGGCGGAUACUGUCGGGCUAGAGUCCGGAAGAGGCGAGUGGAAUUCCUGGUGUAGCGGUGAAAUGCGCAGAUAUCAGGAGGAACACCGGUGGCGAAGGCGGGUCUCUGGGCAACAACUGACGCUGAGGAGCGAAAGCGUGGGGAGCGAACAGG
rnacentral:rRNA from 1 species